CCGGGCGACCGGCGCACGGGUGAGUAACACGUAUGCAACCUGCCCUCUUCAGGGGGACAACCUUCCGAAAGGGAGGCUAAUCCCGCGUAUAUCGGUUUCGGGCAUCCGAGAUCGAGGAAAGAUUCAUCGGAAGAGGAUGGGCAUGCGGCGCAUUAGCUAGACGGCGGGGUAACGGCCCACCGUGGCGACGAUGCGUAGGGGUUCUGAGAGGAAGGUCCCCCACACUGAUACUGAGACACGGACCAGACUCCUACGGAAGGCAGCAG
rnacentral:rRNA from 1 species